rnacentral:rRNA from 1 species
CCUACGGGGGGCAGCAGUGAGGAAUAUUGGUCAAUGGACGAGAGUCUGAACCAGCCAAGUAGCGUGAAGGAUGACUGCCCUAUGGGUUGUAAACUUCUUUUAUAUGGGAAUAAAACGUUCCACGUGUGGGAUUUUGUAUGUACCAUAUGAAUAAGGAUCGGCUAACUCCGUGCCAGCAGCCGCGGUAAUACGGAGGAUCCGAGCGUUAUCCGGAUUUAUUGGGUUUAAAGGGAGCGUAGGUGGAUUGUUAAGUCAGUUGUGAAAGUUUGCGGCUCAACCGUAAAAUUGCAGUUGAAACUGGCAGUCUUGAGUACAGUAGAGGUGGGUGGAAUUCGUGGUGUAGCGGUGAAAUGCUUAGAUAUCACGAAGAACUCCGAUUGCGAAGGCAGUUCACUGGACUGCAACUGACACUGAGGCUCGAAAGUGUGGGUAUCAAACAGGAUUAGAUACCCUAGUAGUC